GACGAACGCUGGCGGCGUGCCUAAUACAUGCAAGUUGAGCGCUGAAGGUUGGUACUUGUACCAACUGGAUGAGCAGCGAACGGGUGAGUAACGCGUGGGUAAUCUGCCUUUGAUCGUGGGACAACAUUUGGAAACGAAUGCUAAUACCGCAUAAAAACUUUAAACACAAGUUUUAAGUUUGAAAUAUGCAAUUGCAUCACUCAAAGAUCAUCCCGCGUUGUAUUAGCUAGUUGGUGAGGUAAAGGCUCACCAAGGCGAUGAUACAUAGCCGACCGGAGAGGGUGAUCGGCCACAUUGGGACUGAGACAAGGCCCAAACUCCUACGGGAGGCAGCAGUAGGGAAACUUCGGCAAGGGACGAAAGUCUGACCGAGCAACGCCGGGUGAGUGAAGAAGGUUUUCGGAUCGUAAAACUCUGUUGGUAGAGAAGAACGUUGGUGAGAGUGGAAAGCUCAUCAAGUGACGGUAACUACACAGAAAGGGACGGCUAACUACGUG
rnacentral:rRNA from 1 species